rnacentral:rRNA from 61 species
UCUCCGUAGGUGAACCUGCGGAGGGAUCAUUA